CAGUCGCCGCGGGAAUACGUAGGGGGCAAGCGUUGUCCGGAAUCAUUGGGCGUAAAGCGCGUGUAGGCGGCUCGAUAAGUCUGCUGUGAAAGUCCAGGGCUCAACCCUGGAAUGCCGGUGGAAACUGUCGAGCUCGAGUCCGGAAGAGGCAAGUGGAAUUCCUGGUGUAGCGGUGAAAUGCGCAGAUAUCAGGAGGAACACCAAUGGCGAAGGCAGCUUGCUGGGACGGUACUGACGCUGAGACGCGAAAGCGUGGGGAGCAAACAGGAUUAGAUACCCCAGUAGUCCCUGUCUCUUAUAC
rnacentral:rRNA from 1 species